rnacentral:rRNA from 14 species
UUCAGUGGCAGAGAACAGGACCAAGACAGCCCCAUCCCACUUGUGUUUGGCCUGGUUGGUACUUGGUUGGGAGAUUACCUGGGAAUACUGGGUGCUGCAGGAA